AGCAAGAUGUAAAUACUGUAGCCAACCUGCUUUACAGCCCCGUAACAGAAGGCUGUAAUGAUUUUUCUUAAAAUUUCACUAAGAGAACCAGUUUGGACUCCUGCAUACAUAAAAAGCCUCAGAUUUUUCUGGUGUAGCCAGGUGAUUGGCCUCACCGUGGUGUCACCACGUACUGUGUGGGCUCUGCACUGCUCCAGGUCUGCCCAUCCCCACCUGCUCCUUCUGCUCCCUUAACCUGGAGAAGGAUGCCUAGCACUGGAAGAAUUGUCUCUACUACCUUUUUUGGCUGGACUCCAGGUGUGGAUGACAAUUUCAAGACUGACAAGUACAGGAAUGAAGUUGUCUAUUCCUAGAACAGGUUCAGUGGGCAGCAGCACUGAUUGUUUCCCAUGUUGCCCUGCCAGCAUUUCUCAAACCUGACCUCAGGGAGCUGCUCCUGAGAGUGAGGAGUUCA